rnacentral:lncRNA from 1 species
GACUCCCCCGAACCCGCAGCCAAGGGGGGCAGAUUCUGAUCCGUCACCAACUGCAAUCCAGUGUCACUCCGCUGCUGCUUCCAGGGAGUGACACUGGAUUAACGGACAUCAGAACCUGGGUUAGUCUCUGGGUGCUAUUCUGGGCUGGGAUCAUGGCAUGAAUUGCCCUAUCCUGCUAGACAAAAUCCAGGUAUUUUACCCUUUUACCACAUCUUGCACACAGUAGAGAGAGUUCUAGAUUUAUUGUGUGUUCUCUGGGCUKGAUUCUGGCCUUGCCUCACACCACACCUAUUACUGUGUCAAACUCCAGUGGUAACGGUUCUUCUUUGCUUGCACUGGUGCGAGGAAGGCCAGAAUCAGGCUCACUGACUGCAGAUUGCACAACUCAGGCCUUGGGAAUCACGUGUUUGAAUGUCCUUUGCACUCGGAAGGGCUACGACAUUGAUUUCUCCUUCACUCAGCGUGUGAUUCUUGGCUUUCCCCAGCUGCCCCCGUUUGCUCACUGCCCAGAAACCUGUUCCUCGUGUAGGGCCAGACCUUCCCCUGCUCUGUUACCUUGCAAACAGGCAGGAUCCGGCCCCUCGGUAGAGCUGGUCUUCGGUUACAGACGUGCACGAAUGGGUGGCGAGCCCCCUGUGACCACGGCGAGCCUUCUGCUGACCCGUGGCUCCAGGAYUACGACGCGCGGGUGGCGUGUAAAGCCGUGCCGCCAGCAGCACCGCGGUCCAGCUGCACUCAGGGCACUUUACAGGCUUUUCUCUUCACGUGUUUUGCCUCCUCAAAGCCCAUCCGGGCUGGAGGGGAUGAGGACACGGACAAACGGAGCAACACAUCUGCUCAUCACCUGGCGUUCACUGCGAAUCUUGUACCUCUUUAAAUACUGAAAAUAAAACACUGAUUCACUGUGUCA